CAUGUGUCCCCAACAUGCCCAAGGUGACAGUCUAACCUCUCCAAAGUUUUCUCUAGAAUUACAAAUUGGUUCUGCCAGUCUGGCUUCAUCCUUUUCAGAGAAAGACAAGACUAUGACUCUCCUAAGGCUGCUUAGCGUUAACAGGGUGGGGCUUAUCAUUCCCCUAUUCCUUCAUCUAGUGACUUGUCUCACUGCUGGUGGCUCAGGGCCCUGGUAUUCAGGAUACCCUAACCUGUCCUUCUUGCCAAAGCCAAACAGAGAGAAGGGCCUGAAUUCGGGGGGAAGGGGGUGUCUUCAGACACUACCAAAUUUCCUCUUCAAAAAGAAAACUCAGCUUAUCCAUCCAGCCGUCCUUCCUUCUUUUCUUCUUUUUUUUUUGGUGGCACUGGGAAUUGAACCUAGGACCUUCACACUGAGCUACAUUCCCAGUCUUUUUCUUUACUUUUUAUUUUGAGACAGGGUCUUCCUAAAUCACUGAGUUCCCUAGGCUGGGCUAAAACUUGUGACCCUCCUGCCUCACGCCUCAGCCUCCCAGAGUGCUGGGAUUACAGGCUUUGCCACUUUGCCCAGCUUGCUGCAUGUCUUUUCUGAUGUUCAGGAUAAGGAGUGGGGACCUCUGCUAGUUAGGAUUUGAGCAGGUCCUAUCUCAAUGAGUAAAUGAAACACAAUAUGCAAAUUACUUUGAGCUUAUACUGUCCUCUCGUUUUGGUUCAUUGGCAAAUAUAGAUUGCACAUCUGGCCCUGUGUAGGUGUGGUGCCUGUGUCUGGAGGCUAACUUCCACAGAUGCUUUCACAGUCUGUGGCACCUCUGUAUUGUGCAGAGGGUCUCUGGGCCUGUCCCAGGGAGCAACAGCCACAGCUGUCCCCGGGCAGAAGUUGUGGGUUAGGGUGGCGAAAUGCAGCACGCUCAUACCCAGCUCUGAGGCGGCCUGCAGCCCGGCUCGGGAACAUCAGUCUCUUUCCAAGUACAUAGCAGUGGCCAUUCAUGCCAAAGUAUGUCCUUCCCCCUGUGCUCGACAUCUCUCUCACACUGACCAACACUUGUUGCCUUGCUUCCUGCCUAGGACGUGAGUGACCGAAUAGAAAAGGAAUCCCUGGAUGGCCCAAUUGUGAGGCAGUUAGAGAGAGGUGGGCGAGCUGUGGUGAAGAUGGACUGGCGGGAGAAUAUCACUGUGCCCCUCCAGACAGAUUUGCGUAAAUUCAGAACCUACAAGGGUGGCUCUGUCAGAGAUCUCCCUGCGAGCCAUGAGAAACAAGAAACACCACUACCGAGAGCUCCCUGUGGAGGUGCAGGAAACACUGGGCUCCCUCCCCGAUGACUUUGUGCGCUACUUCACAUCGCGCUUCCCCCACCUCCUCUCACACACCUACUGGGCCAUGGAGUUGUGCAGCCACGAGAGACUCUUCCAGCCCUACUACUUCCACGAGCCCCCAGAGCCCCCACCCCCAGUGACUCCAGAUGUCCUCUGAGCUAGGGCAACUCUGUUCUGGUGGCCGCAGCUGUGACAGUGGGCCUGGUCUCUGUAGUCCAGAGUUUGACACCACCCUGGCUUAGCAGGGAGACCAGGCUUCUCAAACCAAGUGCCUUGAGCUGCCCCCUCUGCAGCCAGCAGAGGCUGGCCCCAGGAAGUGGGAGAACCGGCCCUCAAGACCUCCAGGGAGCAGGCAAGAAGUUGGCCUUGGAAGCUGCUCUCUAGUUCGGAGGUAUCUGCAGUGGUGGGCUCCUCACAGGCUGUGAAAGGAGCCCUGCUGACCUGCUGGAUGAGCUCACCUCGGCUUACCUCUCUUUGUAAAAUUCCUGUUUGACAUCAGUCUCUGGGCCUUUCAAGAGGGGAGUGGAAGAAUCCUAGGUUUUGCCUGCAAGCUGGGAUGUAGGAAGUGCAGCCUCUGCUAGAAGUGGGCUCAAGAGGUGAGGGAUACUGAGGAGGAGGACGUGCAGAGGGGUUGUUCUGGGGGACAGGAGGUGCCUCACUGAUCCCAGAUGUGCCGAGAGCCUCCCAGCUUACUGUUAAUUGGUGUUUCCUUAGGUAGUGAAGCCGUUGGCAUAAGGCAUGAAGUUAGAGACUGGCCAGCGAUGCCUAUGGGCAGUUGAGAUGGGUCUGCAGGUCUCUGGGAGAUGAAGAGGAUGCUCUGUUCAGGAGGCAGUGCUAGUCCAGAACCCUGGUGGCCUGAGCAGUAAUGUGUGGUGGGUCGUGUCCUGGGCCAUUGGGGCAGGAGAUGAAGAGUCCCCUGGACAUCAGUGAUGGCAGCUAAGAACCGCAUAGGGACAAGUCUUCAGAACAAGAAGGGAGCAACUGAAUGGGAGCCUCCCGGCCACCUAGAGAAGACCCUGAACCAGCUUGUGAGGAUAAGGCUGCUCCAUCUCUGAGCCCAACAAGUCAGGGUGCAUGUGGUGGGUCAGGGCCUAUGGGUUGGGAGCCAGGGUCAGAGUCACUGUGGGCUUUGUGGGCCAGCUUUUAUGUUUCUCCUGGCAAAUUUUAAUGGCUACAUUUCGAUCAUACUGUAGAAUGCUACAUUAGCAUAAGUAAGCUAAACUUAACAUGAACUUACUUGUAAAGAAAUACAAGAUAUAAUAUCUUCUGUUUCGUGUGGUACCAAAAAUCUCCAUGCCCUCAAGAGUGUUCCAUUUAGAACAUUCUCUAAUGCUGAAGGAUAAAACAUUCUAGCAACACUAUGUAAAUAUAUUAAUGUCAAAGUUAUGUACCCUAAGUUAUGUCACUACCCUUUUUUCUCAAAUUAAUAUAAUUUUUUAACUUUAAUUUCAGUCAGAACUUCCUCUGCUCCCUCCUGAGAGCCUUGGAGCUUAAGAUGCAAUCAGGGUCCAUAGGAGGAAGCUCUGUGUGUCCACUUCCUCCAGUCAGUGAGAGUCACUCCAUCCAGCCCUGGCGAGCUGAGUCUUAGUUCCAUUGUUCUCGGGUAAGAGUGUCACUGCCAGCUUAGGGCACUGACAGGAGUCACUCCUGCUUCCUCCUGUGAGAAGUUUUCUGAUUGUGUUUGUGUCAGGGCCACUCAUCCAAAGCUCAUUCUGCCUCUGAAGAAUUCAGCCUUGCUUUUAUAAAAGCCAGAGUGACUUUUCUCUUAAUAUUAAUAUGAUCUCGCAUCUUUGAACUUCAUGAAUAACUCUGCUUAAGCCUUGGAAACUCAGCCUCUCCUUUGGCUUCCUCAGCAUCUCCCACCACAUGGUUCAUCUUCCAGGAAUAUGGCCAGACUGUUUCCUCUUGUUCUGAUGCAUCCAUACCAACUCUGCUUUUACAGUGCCCUCCACGUGGCUCCAGGUUCCUUUGCCUGGGGUCUGAGAGGUGACAGCCCAGGGGAGUGUCAGGAGGUGAAGUAGGUGCCAUGUGUUAUCUGACAGGACUCCCAUGUGGACUGCUGUUCACCUUGUUCUUGCAGCUGAGUUUUCUCUCCAGGAAGUGCCCAGGUGAUUUCUAGUGGCUCAGUUUGUUGUCAUCUCCUGUUUCUAGCCCAGUUUGCCUGGAGACAGCUUUUUCAGAUUCCUUUUCUGCUCAUCGGAUAGAUUCAUUUCUAACCAUCCAAAUUUCUCAGACUCCUUUAGUCAGCAUAUUUUAUUUGGGGAUUUACUAUAUUGAGAUGGGUAGGUCCCAGGGUGCUAGGGAAACCGAAGAGCCAGACAGGCCAAGCUCUGCUUUUGUAAAGCUUGUGAGAGAAUUAAGAGCAAAUAAGUAUAAUACUACAAAGAAUCUAGGCAGGUGGGGAAGGGCAUGUGUUUGGGGUUUGCACAUCUUUUGCCUUAAAAUACUCUGUCCCAGACUUAUCAUCUCUGGUCAGGUUACCUGUCUGUCUUUUCUUCUUACCUUCAGGGACUCAGACUCUCCUCCAGGUUUAUCUGAAGAGUUCUCAUGGAGACAUUUGUUUUGAAAACAUCUUGAGUGUUAUCUAGUGAGUCCAGUUUGAGCCUAGAAUUCCAGUUUCCCAUUGUGCUCACCAAGGGGAAGCUGUCUUUCAGAGGCCAGAACAGCUCUGUGACAUCGUGCCUCUUUAGUUUAAGCUACAGGGCUUCUACAAGUCUUGGAAGGCUGCCUAACUUUUUAGAAGUACACUCUCUCCAUCUUUCAGAUAGCAUUGAGUUGUGUCUGUUAGGGAUCAAAAAACCCUAUAAUUUAUUUAGGUCUUACCUUUUUUUUUUUUUUGUUGCUACCGGGAUCAAACUUGGGUCCUUGCGCUUGCACAGCAGGCGCGCGAAACCACUGAGCUAAAUCCCCGGCCCUAGGUCUUGUGCCAUGUGGUGAACCCCUCUGACACACGUGCCAAAACUUCUCUCAUUGCUUGAGUCUUUAAUUUCAGUUGUUGAAAAGUGCCACAUGUCACUAAGCAGCAAAGCAUUUGCACUUUCGAGAACACUGGUAUCACCUGAUCAGUCAUGACAUCGUCUGAUGGCUGGAGGUGAAUCCUGGGUACAGAGGGUCCCUGUUCUUGGUGCAGCAGUUGUUGCAGGCUUUUCUGAGAGACAGCACUGAUCAGUCACAGACCAAUGCUGACCAGUGGGUCCAAGCAAAAUGCUUUCUUCCCAGCUCUAGAAGAGGUUUUGUGUGUGUUUGAUUAUUCAGUUACCACUGGCAGUUCUUUCUCGUUACAGUAAGAGUAAUUCAUUGGCUGCUGAGAAAAGCUUCCACAGAAGCAGCCUUUGCAUUGCAGGGCUCCCGCUCCUGGCCACUUUGUUUUCAGCAACUGGCCUUUGGCUGGGGGUCAUUUUCCCCAUGUUUCCGUUCUCCAUCUGUUCACUGGAUCCUUGUUCUUUGUUCUCAUCAUUCAUUGGUCAGAAGUUAUCAGGAGAGCUGGAAGGAAGAGGAAGUGCAGCAGCCGUGGAAAGAACCUCUUUAAAUUCCCCAUUCACCGUUCUCUCUGCUCUUUGGCUUUGCAAACUGCAUCCAUGCUUCCCAGUGUGUCCCCCUUUGCCCCAGGUGCAGUGGUGUUAGUUGACUGCGGCUGGGCCUUGGCAUUUCCUGGAAGGAGAUCAUCAGUCAUCUUAGGCAGGGAGCCCAGAUUCUCCCUUCCAGGGUUGGAUUGUUAAUCUUUUAAGCCAAAGUAUCUGCUCUCUUCCUGUUCUUUGUUGUCUUUAUGAAGCAUUGAUUUUCCAUGAAUGACUCUGGCUGUGAUUUUUGUUUCAACACCUCAAUCCUGUCUGUAUACAUUGGAAGACCACAAAGGAUGCAUCUGCCAUGAGCCUCCCUCUGGAACAGCCUUCACCAUACUGCCAGCCAAAGUCCCCACUGCCAGGCCUCUCCUGUGCUCCUGUCUCGUGGGUACAGUAUUCCUUCCCAGUGUCCCUAAAGCUGUGAUGGAGAGUCCCCACUCACCUAAGCAUUACUGGUCAGCUACGUGGCAUUCUCACAUGUGAACCUUGUGUAGCGUUCUUUUUUGCAAUGACCUAUUUAUUGAACCUAUUUAUAUUUAUUUAAUUUUUACUCUGAAGUGUAUCCAGUUACAUUUGCACUUGCUUAAAAGCACAUCAGAUCUAUUUUGGACAACACCUUUGACCAUUUUAAAACUGGAAAGGAAGAGUUAUACUGUAUCCUUCCAUGGGAUGGAAGCCUUGUCUUUAAAGGGUGAAUAAUCUGGUCGGGGUAAAAUGCUAAUUUUUAAGUGAUUUUUUUUUUUUUAAUCAUGUGCCAUUGUGUCUUCUCUGUGGACAGUUGUUUUAAUUGAUAUGUGUUAGUUGUGUGAUACAAUCCUCUUUGUGGAACCUAAAAUUCUCUUUUUAACUUUAUAUUUUAUAAACUGCCAGAUUGUAUAAUUUUUUUAUGUGUAUUUUUAAAGCUUGAUGAUAUGAGAGUCAUUAUCUAAAGUUAAAAGGCCUAUUUUUUGUACCUCUUGUACAGUUUUAUAAUUCUGAUUAAUGAUGGCAUCUUACAUUUAGCCAACCACAAAUAAAGGUAGUUUAGAUAUGGG
rnacentral:lncRNA from 1 species